GGUGGAUGUAGCUCAGGCGGUUAGAGUGACGGAUUGUGGUUCCGAAGGGCGAGGGUGCGAAUCCCUUCUUCCACCC
rnacentral:tRNA from 1 species